rnacentral:rRNA from 1 species
UGCGAUGAAGGCCUUCGGGUUGUAAAGCACUGUCGAGGGGGAGGAAGCCGCAAGGUUGACCUAUCCCUGGAGGAAGCACGGGCUAAGUUCGUGC